UGGGCACAGCUGAUGGCCAGCCCAACUCAACCCCAAAAGCUGUGAGUUAUCACACCUGUGGAAGUGUUUGACAGGAGGGAUCCUGGAGCAGCUGGCAGUCAUUGCGCUGCACCACCGCUCCGUUCCGCUCUCAGACGAUUCGGGUCCGCCCAGCAAAGCAGCCCCGGAGCAACGCGUGCAGAACGUCGUGGUGCGGGGAAGGAAAUGUAAUUUGUGUGGAACCUGGCGCAAAGCUCCGAGCCGGAGGGUCCGAAAAGCGGCGCAAAGGAAAACAAAAAACAAAAAGAGCAGCGAGGGCUGUACUUACAGUGACACUGCGCCGGGCACGAGGGCGCAGCGCCCGGCUCCGCCGCUCGGAUGUGGGCACAGCACGCCAGCAAAACGCCCCAGAAGAUGAAGCGCUCCAUCCUCAGCUCGCUGCAAGCAGCGGGGAGCCGACGGGGAUCCACCCCCACCUGAGAGCUGCACCGACGGGACGCCCCGGGGCGCUCCGUCACCGCGCGCCCGACCUGCGGCAAUGGGGAGAGCGGUGGGGAUGCAGCCGGGGAAGGGAAGGCAUUGUUGGAUGAUUUUGGUUAUUGGGUUUCAAGGGCUGGGCAGGGGCGUGAGGCGCUCCGGUGGGAGGAGUCAAACCUUCUGCUCUUUCCCUCUCUCUCUCAAGAGCUGGCAGGAAUUUCAUUCAAAGGGAAGAAAGGGGAAAAGAAAAAAAAAAAAGG